CAUGUCUUUUUGAUUAAUAAUUUAAAGUCUAACCUGCCCACUGAAAAUAUUUAAAGGGCCGCAGUAUAAAUUGUGCUAAGGUAGCAUAAUAAUUAGAUUUUUAAUUGAAAUCUAGAAUGAAUGGUUGAACGAAAUAUAAUUUGUUUAUAAUUUAUAUAAUUAAAAUUUAUUAUUUUAGUGAAAAAACUAAAUUAAAUUAAAAAGACGAGAAGACCCUAUAGAUCUUUAUAUUUAAAUUAAAUAAAAUAUUUAUUAUAAAUAUUAAAUUGGGGUGAUUAAAAAAUUUAAUUAACUUUAAAUAAUUAAAAUAUACAUUUAUUUAUGAAUUAUAAAAUUAAUUGAUCUAUUAUUAUAAAUAAAGAUAAAUGAUACCUUAGGGAUAACAGCGUAAUUUUAAUUUUAAGUUCUUAUUAAAAUUAAAGAUUGCGACCUCGAUGUUGAAUUAAAAUUAAUAAUAAAUGUAGUCGUUUAUUUAUUAGGUCUGUUCGACCUUUAAAAUUUUACGUGAUCUGAGUUUCA
rnacentral:rRNA from 1 species